CUUUCAAAUCAACGUAAACUAUGUAUAUAUUCUAGUGAUAUUUUAUUAAAUUGAGUAUUCAUUUGUACUUUUAGUACCUGAAGACUUCAAAGUAUUGCAUUGCUUGUGCUGCUCCGAUGAUUUGCUCUACACCAGUUGAUCAGAUUCAGCAGAAUAUAUAAGGUUGUUUUGUUCGAGAAUAAAAUGCAUAAAAUAAAAAUUAUAGGUCACGUUUGUGGGUUCCAUUCGGUGCAGAGGACUUGGAAGCUAAAAGGUUACUCCGAACACUCAACCCCUUCGCACGCACGCACUCACUUUCCUCUGGGUAGUCGGCCUUCUUUGCAUUUUUAAAGCACCGCGCUGGCAGCCAUCAAUUUAUCAUGCUGUUGUGUUGGCCAUAUAAGCGGAAGUUGUACAACCCAGCACUACAUGCCCUGCCAGCCGUAUGAGCAGCAACAAUACCAUCAGGAGCAGGCAGCCGCAGCGGCAGGCACGAGAUGGAGAAGGAAGUCGAAGACACAACCCCACUUUCGGGGGGCGGGGGAUGAGUGUCACAUCUAUUUUCAACAUUGUGCACACAUUUCAUUCAUUGAGUGCAUGUCGGGCCCGAGACCAGAACGAGAAUAUUUACAACCAUAGA